GCCGGUAGCGGUGGUGCAGUGGUAAGCACCCCGAAGGUAACCUGCAGCGUUAUUCUGCAGGGUUUGGGUUCAAUUCCCAGCGCUGGCA
rnacentral:tRNA from 1 species